ACUCCUACGGGAGGCAGCAGUGGGGAAUUUUGGACAAUGGGCGAAAGCCUGAUCCAGCAAUGCCGCGUGAGUGAAGAAGGCCUUCGGGUUGUAAAGCUCUUUUGUCAGGGAAGAAACGGUGAGAGCUAAUAUCUUUUGCUAAUGACGGUACCUGAAGAAUAAGCACCGGCUAACUACGUGCCAGCAGCCGCGGUAAUACGUAGGGUGCAAGCGUUAAUCGGAAUUACUGGGCGUAAAGCGUGCGCAGGCGGUUUUGUAAGUCUGAUGUGAAAUCCCCGGGCUCAACCUGGGAAUUGCAUUGGAGACUGCAAGGCUAGAAUCUGGCAGAGGGGGGUAGAAUUCCACGUGUAGCAGUGAAAUGCGUAGAUAUGUGGAGGAACACCGAUGGCGAAGGCAGCCCCCUGGGUCAAGAUUGACGCCCAUGCACGAAAGCGUGGGGAGCAAACAGGAUUAGAUACCCCAGUAGUCCCAUG
rnacentral:rRNA from 1 species